UACGUAGGUGGCAAGCGUUGUCCGGAUUUAUUGGGUUUAAAGGGUGCGUAGGCGGUUUUGUAAGUAGGUGGUGAAAUAUGUCAGCUUAACUGAGAGGGUGCCAUUGAUACUGCAGAACUUGAGUACAGAUGAGGUAGGCGGAAUUGACGGUGUAGCGGUGAAAUGCUUAGAUAUCGUCAAGAACACCUAUAGCGAAGGCAGCUUUCUAGGCUGUAACUGACGCUGAGGCACGAAAGUGUGGGGAUCAAACAGG
rnacentral:rRNA from 1 species